UUAUUUAUUACAUUUUAUACUGCUCUUUAUCCAAGGAUCACAGGGCAGUUUACAAAAAGACAUAACAUAGUAAGAAGCAAAACAAUAACUGCCGCCCGCUACACACACAGAAUAGCGCCCAUCUCUGUAUUUCUAAAAUCAGCUGCAAAGGGGCUACAAUUUGUAUCUGAAUCACAUGCACCUCAGGCUGGGUGCCAGCAUUUUUAGCCCAAUGGUAGAACAGCAGUGUGGGUUUGAACUCAGCAUUCCCUUUCUCUUGGUGCUGCUGCACCAAUCCACAUCCGAGCCCUCCAUGGCUACACUGAAAUAACCAGCACGUCUAUUUUGACCCAAGGCUCUCUUUUUAUUAGGGAUCUUCUUGUCUGAAAUUGUCAUUUCCAUCAUUUUUUGGGCCAAAGUCCACAGCUUGACUUUGUGUUUCAUUUUUUUCCUCUCCUGCAAUCAUUGCCAACACAAAAUUAAUAAAUAAAUGUAAUAAAUAAUCAUUUGUUGAUGGAAUUUAAGUAAGAAUUUGAAAUAGUAGUCAGAUCAGCCAACCUUUAUGGGCCAGUGGCAGUGGUAAAAUAACCAAUGUCCUCUGUUAGGCCAUCAUACGGGGACAUAGCUCUGCCAAAGCAUCUCACCCAACAUCAGCAGAUAAUUGGGGGUGUAUGGUUGUGGCGUUUGCUCUCCUAGGUGUGCGACAUCAUACUGGGUUCAUAAGGAAAGGGUUAACUAAUUGUAAAAUGACUAACCAAUGGGAACCCAAGGGGAGGUGUUAGAGUUAGGGGGGUUGAGAAGUUAGUCUGGAGUUAGAGAAGAGAGAGAGGAUAAGUCUGUGGGUUGGGCUAGUCUGAUGUGAGAGAAUCUGUUAAGAGGAGUCAGUCAAACAGUUAAAAUAAUCAGUCAGAAGGUAUAGGCCGGUAAAGAAACUAAAGUUAAGAAACUGACAAGAAUAUUAUCUGAGAAACCAUAAACUUGUUAAUGCUUAUAAAAUAAAC